GUGAAUUACAUUUUCCUGGGAUUGUUUACGGCUCUUCAAGGCCUGAUGCUAGGAGCCGUAGCAAGUUUCUAUAAAGUCCAUGAAGUAUUGUGGGCAACAGCAGCAACCACUCUGGUGACACUGGCUCUCACUUUAUUUGCUCUACAAACAAAA